rnacentral:rRNA from 1 species
AUUGAACGCUGGCGGCAUGCCUUACACAUGCAAGUCGAACGGCAGCACGGGAGCAAUCCUGGUGGCGAGUGGCGAACGGGUGAGUAAUAUAUCGGAACGUGCCCGGUCGUGGGGAUAACGUAGCGAAAGCUACGCUAAUACCGCAUACGAUCUACGGAUGAAAGCGGGGGAUCGCAAGACCUCGCGCGAUUGGAGCGGCCGAUAUCAGAUUAGGUAGUUGGUGAGGUAAAGGCUCACCAAGCCGACGAUCUGUAGCUGGUCUGAGAGGACGACCAGCCACACUGGGACUGAGACACGGCCCAGACUCCUACGGGAGGCAGCAGUGGGGAAUUUUGGACAAUGGGCGCAAGCCUGAUCCAGCAAUGCCGCGUGCAGGAUGAAGGCCUCGGUGUAAC